GGCGGCAGGCCUAACACAUGCAAGUCGAGCGGAAACGACACUAACAAUCCUUCGGGUGCGUUAAUGGGCGUCGAGCGGCGGACGGGUGAGUAAUGCCUAGGAAAUUGCCUUGAUGUGGGGGAUAACCAUUGGAAACGAUGGCUAAUACCGCAUAAUGCCUACGGGCCAAAGAGGGGGACCUUCGGGCCUCUCGCGUCAAGAUAUGCCUAGGUGGGAUUAGCUAGUUGGUGAGGUAAUGGCUCACCAAGGCGACGAUCCCUAGCUGGUCUGAGAGGAUGAUCAGCCACACUGGAACUGAGACACGGUCCAGACUCCUACGGGAGGCAGCAGUGGGGAAUAUUGCACAAUGGGCGAAAGCCUGAUGCAGCCAUGCCGCGUGUAUGAAGAAGGCCUU
rnacentral:rRNA from 1 species